AUGAAAAUCCUGAGUUGGAACUAUCGGGGGCUGGGUCAACCCCGCACAGUUCAAGAGCUUGUGUGUCUCUCUAAGACGCACCAACCCAAUGUUAUCUUCCUUUCAGAGACUAGAAAAAAUAAAGAAUAUGUUGAAUGUUAUCGGUUGGGUAUGAAAAAUGUGUUCUCCUUUUCAGCUCAAGGGAAAGGUGGAGGCCUUGCUGUGUUCUGGGAUGAUUCUUAUAAUCUGGAGUUGAAUAAGUAUGGGGAGCAUUUCAUUGAUAUGUAUAUUUGUUCUGGUAAUGGUGCAAAAUGGAGAAGCACUUUUGUCUAUGGAGAAGCCAAGGCAAGUCAAAGGUAUGUAAUGUGGGAACUUUUGCGUAGAAUUAAACCCCUUGGUUCGGGACCGUGGUUUUUGGUUGGGGAUUUCAAUGAAGCGAUGUGGCAGAAUGAACAUUUUUCUUGGCAUAAGAGGUCGUCUUCCAUGAUGGCUAAUUUUAGGAGUGUUCUUUAUGAUUGUAACCUCUUUGACUUGGGAUUUCAUGGUGUUCCUUGGACCUAUAAUAACAAGCAAGAGGGCAACAAAAAUUGUUGGGGAUCGUAG
rnacentral:rRNA from 1 species